GUGGGGAAUAUUGGACAAUGGGCGAAAGCCUGAUCCAGCCAUGCCGCGUGUGUGAAGAAGGUCUUCGGAUUGUAAAGCACUUUAAGUUGGGAGGAAGGGCAGUAAGUUAAUACCUUGCUGUUUUGACGUUACCGACAGAAUAAGCACCGGCUAACUUCGUGCCAGCAGCCGCGGUAAUACGAAGGGUGCAAGCGUUAAUCGGAAUUACUGGGCGUAAAGCGCGCGUAGGUGGUUUUGUAAGUUGGAGGUGAAAUCCCCGGGCUCAACCUGGGAACUGCCUCCAAAACUGUAUGACUAGAGUACGGUAGAGGGUAGUGGAAUUUCCUGUGUAGCGGUGAAAUGCGUAGAUAUAGGAAGGAACACCAGUGGCGAAGGCGACUACCUGGACUGAUACUGACACUGAGGUGCGAAAGCGUGGGGAGCAAACAGGAUUAGAAACCCGUGUAGUCC
rnacentral:rRNA from 1 species